rnacentral:rRNA from 1 species
CGACGCAACGCGAAGAACCUUACCUGGGCUCGAAGCGCAGUGGACCGGGGUGGAAACAUCCCUUUCCGCAAGGACUGCUGCGUAGGUGCUGCAUGGCUGUCGUCAGCUCGUGUCGUGAGAUGUCGGGUUAAGUCCCGCAACGAGCGCAACCCUUAUCACCAGUUGCCAUCACGUUAUGGUGGGCACUCUGGCGAAACCGCCCCGGAUAACGGGGAGGAAGGUGGGGAUGACGUCAAGUCCUCAUGGCCUUUAUGUCCAGGGCUACACACGUGCUACAACGGGUGGUACAAACCGUCGCAAACCCGCGAGGGGGAGCUAAUCGGAAAAAGCCAUCCUCAGUUCGGAUUAGAGUCUGCAACUCGACUCUAUGAAGCUGGAAUCGCUAGUAAUCGCAGAUC